GCUCCGGGCCGCCCGUGGAUGAGCACCAUGCGGCUGCUGCUGCUCGCCCUCCUCUUCUCCUCGUCCUUCGCCCGCGCCGGCUGCGACCCGAAGAUCGUCAAUAUCGGCGCGGUGCUGAGCACCAAGAAGCACGAGCAGAUCUUCCGCGAGGCGGUGAACCAGGCCAACAAGCGGCACGGCACCUGGAAGCUCCAGCUCAACGCCACCUCCGUCACCCACAAGCCCAACGCCAUCCAGAUGGCCCUGUCCGUCUGCGAGGACCUCAUCUCCAGCCAGGUCUAUGCAAUAUUAGUUAGUCACCCUCCUGCUCCCAACGAUCACCUAACACCAACACCUGUAUCAUACACAGCUGGCUUCUACAGGAUCCCUGUCAUUGGUCUGACAACACGCAUGUCUAUAUACUCUGAUAAGAGCAUCCACCUGUCCUUUUUGCGCACGGUCCCACCCUACUCUCACCAGGCCAACGUCUGGUUUGAGAUGAUGAGAGUCUUCAACUGGAACCACGUCAUCCUGAUAGUCAGCGACGACCACGAGGGUCGUGCUGCACAGAAGAAGCUGGAGACCCUCCUGGAGGAGAAAGAGUCCAAGGCUGAGAAAGUGCUUCAGUUUGACCCUGGGACCAAAAAUGUGACAGCGCUGCUGCUGGAGGCGAAGGAGCUGGAGGCCAGGGUCAUCAUCCUCUCUGCCAGCGAGGAUGACGCGGCCACGGUGUACAGAUCAGCAGCCAUGCUCAACAUGACGGGCUCGGGCUACGUGUGGCUGGUGGGGGAGCGGGAGAUCUCGGGCAAUGCCCUGCGCUACGCCCCGGACGGAGUGAUCGGCUUGCAGCUCAUCAACGGCAAGAACGAGUCAGCCCACAUCAGUGACGCUGUCGCCGUGGUGGCCCAGGCCGUGCACGACUUGUUCGAGAAGGAGAAUAUCACAGACCCACCGCGGGGCUGCGUGGGCAACACCAACAUCUGGAAGACAGGACCCCUUUUUAAGAGGGUGUUGAUGUCCUCCAAGUACUCAGAGGGUGUCACCGGCCGGGUGGAGUUCAAUGAGGAUGGGGACAGGAAAUUUGCCAACUACAGCAUCAUGAACCUGCAGAACCGGAAGCUGGUCCAGGUUGGGAUUUACAACGGCAGCAAUGUCCUGACCAACGACAGGAAGAUCAUCUGGCCAGGCGGGGAAACUGAGAAACCUCAAGGCUAUCAAAUGUCAACCAAGCUGAAGAUUGUGACCAUCCACCAAGAGCCCUUUGUGUAUGUGAAGCCCACUCAGGCAGAUGGGACAUGUAGGGAGGAAUUCACCAUCAAUGGAGAUCCUGUCAAAAAGGUUUUCUGCACUGGACCCAAUGAGACCAUCCCAGGCCGUCCCACCGUGGCCCUGUGCUGCUACGGCUUCUGCAUUGACCUGCUCAUCCGCCUGGCAGGCGUGAUGAACUUCACCUACGAGGUUCACCUGGUGGCUGAUGGUAAAUUUGGUACCCAAGAGAGGGUGAACAACAGCAACAAGAAGGAGUGGAACGGGAUGAUGGGGGAGCUGCUGAGCGGCCAGGCUGACAUGAUUGUGGCUCCCCUCACCAUCAACAACGAGCGGGCUCAGUACAUUGAGUUCUCCAAGCCCUUCAAGUACCAGGGCCUCACCAUCCUCGUGAAGAAGGAAAUCCCCCGCAGCACCCUGGACUCGUUCAUGCAGCCCUUCCAGAGCACGCUCUGGCUGCUGGUGGGGCUGUCUGUGCACGUGGUGGCAGUGAUGUUGUACCUCUUAGACCGAUUCAGCCCCUUUGGCCGGUUCAAAGUAAACAGUGAGGAGGAGGAGGAAGAUGCCCUGACUCUCUCCUCAGCCAUGUGGUUCUCCUGGGGAGUCCUGCUGAACUCUGGCAUUGGAGAAGGUGCUCCCCGGAGUUUCUCUGCCCGUAUCCUUGGCAUGGUGUGGGCUGGCUUUGCUAUGAUCAUUGUGGCUUCAUACACUGCCAACCUGGCAGCCUUCCUGGUGUUGGACCGACCUGAGGAGAGGAUCACAGGCAUUAACGACCCCCGGCUGCGCAACCCCUCGGAUAAGUUCAUCUACGCCACGGUGAAGCAGAGCUCUGUGGACAUCUACUUCCGACGGCAGGUGGAGCUGAGCACCAUGUACCGGCACAUGGAGAAGCACAACUACGAGAGCGCUGCCGAGGCCAUCCAGGCAGUGAGGGACAACAAGCUCCACGCCUUCAUCUGGGACUCGGCGGUGCUGGAGUUCGAGGCCUCCCAGAAGUGUGACCUGGUGACCACGGGGGAGCUCUUCUUCCGCUCCGGCUUCGGGAUCGGCAUGCGCAAGGACAGCCCCUGGAAGCAGAACGUCUCCCUGGCCAUCCUCAAGUCUCACGAGAACGGCUUCAUGGAGGAUUUGGACAAGACUUGGGUGAGGUAUCAAGAGUGUGAUUCCCGUAGCAAUGCCCCAGCAACACUCACCUUUGAAAAUAUGGCAGGUGUGUUUAUGCUGGUGGCUGGAGGUAUUGUUGCCGGGAUAUUUUUAAUAUUCAUAGAGAUAGCUUACAAAAGGCAUAAGGACGCGCGGAGGAAGCAGAUGCAGCUGGCGUUUGCGGCCGUUAAUGUGUGGAGGAAAAACCUGCAGAGAGAACUGAGAAGGAGGAGCAAAUGUAUCCCCGAGCAUGCUCUACGCACCAGCGGGAUACAUUUUGGUUACCCCCGUGCGGUAGCAGAGCCAGACCUGGUCACUCCGUCCCCCGUCGGCAAGGUCACACUCAUUGGCACCAAAGCAAUUGGGGAGGACUCGUUGCCAGCGCCCGGCGCCGAGCGCGGCCGGGCCCCCCGGCCCGCGGCCCCCGCACCAUGGCGGCUGGUGCUCCCAGCCUGCGCCAACCAGGAUAGAAAAAGUGGUAGAGCAGAACCUGACCCUAAAAAGAAAGCCACUUUUAGGUCCAUCACCUCCACCCUGGCCUCCAGCUUCAAGAGACGUAGGUCCUCCAAGGAUACGCCCUGCAGAAUGGUCCCUCAGGAGUGCCAGAGAGACAGGCUGGCACCAUGGAGCCAAGACAGCCCUGGGAAGCUUCCACCCCACUCUGAACGUCCUAGCGCCCACCAUCACCCGAGCUGCACAGCCUCUCCGCGGCACAUCAUCCCCACCGCCCCAGGAGGAGAUGCAUGUGUUCCCCAUAGGCAGCUCCUGCAACUCGAGUAGCACUGGCAGAGCUGACGUGUCCAUCCAUCGCAGCCACCCACGAUACUGCAACCCCACAGACGCCAUGUGAGACGCAUAAACCACACAGACACCUCCGAGCCGGCACAUUGCGUACAGACACGAUCGAGGUGCACAGGUCCCUUAGCCCCCCGCAUCGCCAGCCCCCGCAGAGCCACACUGCCAGCCCCAGCCCCCGAGACACAGCAGUGACACACGGCCCGCGGCACCGCCCCGCCGUGGGCAUGGUGCCGGGGCUGGGCGACAACCGAGGGGCUUCCUGGAAAAGGUCACCUUUUCAGUGAAGGAUCAGCUGUCCCAAAGCCAAAUGCUUCUUGGCUGAGAAAGAGCCUAGUUUUUGGCCCAAAAGAACCAAAAGUAGGUCAAAGACAACUAAGACAACUUUUUUUUUUUUUCCUAAAGGGAAGUUGAUAUUUUCUACAGCAAGAUCGCAUUUAGCUGGAAUCCUAAUUUUUAAUGGAAAAAAAACCACAACAACAAACUAAAAUUCUUCCAGAAAAUCUUCCACCAGCCAGGGACUACCAUAUGAGCCCACAGUAUCACCCCACCGACAUCACCGGCCAGCUCAACCUCUCCGACCCCUCAGUCAGCACUGUGGUGUGACCUUCUCCCCAAGGGCCAUCAGUCCUUGCCCAACCCAGUAGGAAGGCACAGCCAGGACUGCCUUUCAAGGGACACUGAUGGGUUCUUCUGGGUGAGAUGGGAGGAAAGCAUCCUUCAUCCAUACACGGUGACUCCAUUGUAUAUCUCCCUCCCUUCCUAGGCCUGCUGCCAUGCUCGUGCCCCAGGAAGCACGGCAGAACCAGGACAAGGUUUGGACUUCACUGUACAGAGAUAAUUGCUUCCAAACAGUGCCACAAUGAUCAGAAUUGCCACUGACUGGCUCCAUGCAAGGGGAAAGGACUGCAGAAGGCACACGGUGCCUGCUCUCCCACGGUAGCAGGGAAGAGCUGGUGCCAGACCACAAACCCGUGCUUAACCUCACAGGCUGCAGCCUUCUGAGCACACACAGCCCCUCAGACAUGUGCUCCACCACCUGGAGGGCUCCACGGUCCUGUGCAGCCGGAGCAGCGAGCUCCUGGUGUGGCAGGUUGGGCACAUGUUCCUGCUGUGCCGAGAGACCCUCCCGGCUGCCGCAGGGGCUGGAAGAUGUGUGCUCUGCUCCUUGCAGGGGAUGGACCCUCUUCCCUUUCCCCCCAUCGUUCCGUGGCUGUGACUUGGUUCCCGUCCGUGGUCUGGUAGCAGCAGGAGAGCUCCCACCCUGCAGCCCUCACCCCUGAGCUACUCGCGGUACUCCAGAGCCCUGGAGUGCCGCCAGCCGAGACCCCGGCUCCCACCUCUCCUGCACAGAAACAUCCCCAGGACCUGGCCACGGCCAGCAUGUAGCACUCACACAGCAGCUCUCCUGGCCAGGAAUUCUCCACGGGAAAUGGCUCUGGAUGGUUGCACUGACCUCUACCCCAGCUCCACACUGCCUCAGCACCAGCAAUGCAAGGAGAGAUGCUGCUGGCUGGUCCCGGCUCGCUGAGCUGCUGCAGCGGCCCCCCAGCCUGUCUGCACCGCCGGGGCACCAGGGCCAGCGCUGGCGGCUCCCCUGCCACCCUCACCUGCAGUUCAGCUUGCCAGCAGCUCCCGCGGCAGCCCUGCAGCCCCAACUCACGGACACGUGGAAAGCAGCUCCCAGUUCGGGAGAAGGAACCGAACGGGCCGGGCUCACCCCGUCCCUCCCCGCACCGUCCUCCCCUCGGGCCCACACGGCCACCCCGAGCAUCCUCUCCGUGGGCAGCGGGGGUGAGCAGCGUCUCCUGCCAGCGGAACACCCAGCUGCAGCGUGGUACCCAGCCCCGGCGGCACGGACUGCCCUCCCCCGGCCCCAGGCUGCCCCCGCGGGCAGCAGCCCCGCGGGCAGGAUUUCACAUGGCAGCUGAGGUCUGUGAGCAUCGUCCCACCGACUGCUGUGGCUCCAUCACGUUCAUCUAGCUCCAGCUGAGAAAUCGGACCCAUCCUACUUUAUACGUCAAUGUUACAUUAAUACCAAGUUUUUGCAAGAGCUCAGUAAAGUCUAGACUGGAUCAUGAAGUGGUUUAUUCCA